AUUGAACGCUGGCGGCAGGCCUAACACAUGCAAGUCGAGCGGGGUUUUCGGACCUAGCGGCGGACGGGUGAGUAAUGCGUAGGAAGCUACCCGGUAGAGGGGGAUACCAGUUGGAAACGACUGUUAAUACCGCAUAAUGUCUACGGACCAAAGUGUGGGACCUUCGGGCCACAUGCUAUCGGAUGCGCCUACGUGGGAUUAGCUAGUUGGUGAGGUAAUGGCUCACCAAGGCGACGAUCCCUAGCUGGUUUGAGAGGAUGAUCAGCCACACUGGAAAUGAGACACGGUCCAGACUCCUACGGGAGGCAGCAGUGGGGAAUAUUGGACAAUGGGCGCAAGCCUGAUCCAGCCAUGCCGCGUGUGUGAAGAAGGCCUUCGGGUUGUAAAGCACUUUCAGUAGGGAGGAAGCGUUGUGUGUUAAUAGUACACAGCGUUGACGUUACCUACAGAAGAAGCACCGGCUAACUCUGUGCCAGCCGCCGCCGUAAAAC
rnacentral:rRNA from 1 species